UACAGAGGGUGCGAGCGUUGUCCGGAAUCACUGGGCGUAAAGGGCGCGUAGGUGGCGACCCAAGUCUGUGGUGAAAGCUCGCCGCUUAACGGCGAGUCGGCCACGGAUACUGGGUGGCUCGAGCACUGUAGGGGCAGAUGGAAUUCCGGGUGUAGCGGUGGAAUGCGUAGAGAUCCGGAAGAACACCGGUGGCGAAGGCGGUCUGCUGGGCAGUAGCUGACACUGAGGCGCGAAAGCGUGGGGAGCAAACAGG
rnacentral:rRNA from 1 species